rnacentral:rRNA from 1 species
UACGUAGGUGGCAAGCGUUGUCCGGAAUUACUGGGUGUAAAGGGCGUGUAGGCGGGAUAGCAAGUCAGAUGGGAAAUUCCGGGGCUCAACCCCGGCGCUGCAUCUGAAACUGUUAUUCUUGAGUGUCGGAGAGGAAAGUGGAAUUCCCAGUGUAGCGGUGAAAUGCGGAGAGAUUGGGAGGAACACCAGUGGCGAAGGCGGCUUUCUGGACGAUAACUGACGCUGAGGCGCGAAAGCGUGGGGAGCAAACGGG